GCAGUCGAGCGGCAGCCAAGGGAGUUUACUCCUGAGGUGGCGAGCGGCGGACGGGUGAGUAAUGCCUAGGGAUCUGCCCAGUCGAGGGGGAUAACAGUUGGAAACGACUGCUAAUACCGCAUACGCCCUACGGGGGAAAGGAGGGGACCUUCGGGCCUUCCGCGAUUGGAUGAACCUAGGUGGGAUUAGCUAGUUGGUGAGGUAAUGGCUCACCAAGGCGACGAUCCCUAGCUGUUCUGAGAGGAUGAUCAGCCACACUGGGACUGAGACACGGCCCAGACUCCUACGGGAGGCAGCAGUGGGGAAUAUUGCACAAUGGGGGAAACCCUGAUGCAGCCAUGCCGCGUGUGUGAAGAAGGCCUUCGGGUUGUAAAGCACUUUCAGUAGGGAGGAAAGGGUGUAGUUUAAUACGCUAUAUCUGUGACGUUACCUACAGAAGAAGGACCGGCUAACUCCGUGCCAGCAGCCGCGGUAAUACGGAGGGUCCGAGCGUUAAUCGGAAUUACUGGGCGUAAAGCGUGCGCAGGCGGUUUGUUAAGCGAGAUGUGAAAGCCCUGGGCUCAACCUAGGAAUAGCAUUUCGAACUGGCGAACUAGAGUCUUGUAGAGGGGGGUAGAAUUCCAGGUGUAGCGGUGAAAUGCGUAGAGAUCUGGAGGAAUACCGGUGGCGAAGGCGGCCCCCUGGACAAAGACUGACGCUCAUGCA
rnacentral:rRNA from 1 species